UACGUAGGUGGCAAGCGUUGUCCGGAUUUAUUGGGUUUAAAGGGUGCGUAGGCGGUCUUAUAAGUCAGUGCUGAAAUAUCCCGGCUUAACCGGGAGGGUGGCAUUGAUACUGUAGGACUUGAGUGAAGUCGAGGUAGGCGGAAUUGACGGUGUAGCGGUGAAAUGCUUAGAUAUCGUCAAGAACACCAAUAGUGAAGACAGUUUACUAGACUUCAACUGACGCUGAGGCACGAAAGUGUGGGGAUCAAACGGG
rnacentral:rRNA from 1 species